AGUGAACGCUGGCGGUAGGCCUAACACAUGCAAGUCGAACGGCAGCACAGUAAGAGCUUGCUCUUACGGGUGGCGAGUGGCGGACGGGUGAGGAAUACAUCGGAAUCUACUUUUUCGUGGGGGAUAACGUAGGGAAACUUACGCUAAUACCGCAUACGACCUACGGGUGAAAGCAGGGGAUCUUCGGACCUUGCGCGAUUGAAUGAGCCGAUGUCGGAUUAGCUAGUUGGCGGGGUAAAGGCCCACCAAGGCGACGAUCCGUAGCUGGUCUGAGAGGAUGAUCAGCCACACUGAACUGAGACACGGUCCAGACUCCUACGGGAGGCAGCAGUGGGGAAUAUUGGACAAUGGGCGCAAGCCUGAUCCAGCCAUAUCGCGUGGGUGAAGAAGGCCUUCGGGUUGUAAAGCCCUUUUGUUGGGAAAGAAAAGCAGCAGGUUAAUACCCCGCUGUUCUGACGGUACCCAAAGAAUAAGCACCGGCUAACUUCGUG
rnacentral:rRNA from 1 species